CGGCUGGCUCCCUUCUCAUUCGCCCCCCUCGUUCCCCUUUCUCUGUCUCCCGUCUCCUUUCGCCGCCACCGCCGCCGCUCGCCCUCCUCGAUUCGACGCCGUUCUUCGGUUCAGGCGGUGCCGUGACGUCGAGGUUGCCUUCCCGGUCGACCGGAGAUGGAGCUGAUCGUUUGAGCUUCUGAGGCCCCUGCCUCGCGGGGCUGGCGGCCAUGCUCGUGGAUGACUCGUCGAUGGCUCCCUUUGAGAUGACGGUGGGGGCCAUGCUCAAGCUGCUCUGCAUCACCGAGGGCACCUCCUUCAACUAGAUCCUGCGUGCCAAGAAGGUCGUCGCCGCCUCCUGCAAGGACGACCCAGACACUGUCGCCUAGGUACUCCUCUUUGGCUUAAUAGGCCAACAGACAAGCCUGUUCUCUGCAAUGCACGUGGGUCGAGAUAGAGGAUAAAGGAGCAAGUAGGAGGAGGAAUCAGAGAGGGAGAUGGGGGAGGGAGAGGAAAUCUCGGCCUGCACGAUUGCAUGUCCCACAAGCUACUACAAAGGGAGAAUCGUAUACCCAACAUCCUUCUCAAAGCCUGCAGCUACUGCGCCAACCUGCAGCAACAAGAUACUGGCACCUCAGCUUGAUCCCUUGACUGAACAGCAAAUGGUUGGCAUCUGCAGCCUUUAGCGGUCAUUGCAGUAGGCAGAAGCUCUCACCCAGGGCCUGGAGCAGCUCCAUUAGUCAUUAGCAGUCAUGGUGGCAGGCAGUGGGUCUCUUAGCGACGAUACCAACAUGGGGAGCUCCAUGAGAGACAUGGUUGUUGCUCUCGGCAAGCUGGCCAACCUUGAAGGCUUUGUCAUACAGUGACCCAGACCAGCACCAUGGCAACAAGCUUGCCCCCCUACCCCGACCUUGAACUUGAGCGGCUGAUACCACCAUGACUUGGCGGCACAGCUGGUGGAACCGACAUCCCUAAGCGAGCCAUCGUCUAGAUGGCUGCCGCUCUUGUGCCCAGUAGGUACUACUCCCUUUAUCUCAUCUUCUCAUAAGCUAAUGAACACAUGUGGUUCGUCCGCCUUUUGUUCUCCUAGAUCCAAGAACCCUGCCUUCUUCCAAAAUCCAGAAUGAUAUUCCUUUUUUAUCUGGAUUGGGAUUUUAAUUAGGAAGAUUCUUUCUAGGUAGAGGAGUAGAGGCAUUGUUUCCAAGGUUAGUAGUAAGGUGUUGCAGAUUAGAGCACCAUCGGGAGUUUUUGAGCACCAUGGCAAGGUAGAGGUGCUCCGUGUGCCCUGCAUCUUCAAAAGAAUCAUCUCAUGCAGUAUUCCAAAAAAAUAGCAUUAUGUAAAAGUCUGGUUAUGAAAAUCAUAUCAUCAGAGAUAACACACUAAUCAACUUUCUUCAUUAGAUUACUUAGUUGUGAGCUAGAACCUGAAGAAAAGUGAAGCAAGCUAGAUACAUAAAAAUUAGGCACUACAUCCAACUCCAAUACCAAAUAGGCAGACAGACAUCUUGGCAUUCGACUUUAGGAGACGAUGAGCUUGAGAAGUGAGAUGGUUCCGUUGAGGUAACGGUUCUGUUGAAGUAACGAUGCGUUUGGGCGGUCUGGCCUGACCAUUGCGUCCAUAUGUGGGGUUGGAUGGUCCCGCACCUCUUCCGGCGGUAGCGACUGGGCGACAGCUGAAGAUCCUUCUCAAAUUUGAACUCCAUUUUUUUAAAGAUUCCCUAUUUUUUGCACAUUGAUGAUCACAUUUUUGGACUGUAUAAUUGAUCUUGGUAUGGUUUAUAGCUUCCUGUACAACUCUUACCAUUGUCCAAUCAAGUUCAUCCAUGUCAAACACUAUCGACUUGAAACAGAGUACUGUCAAAGAGAAGGUUUGAUUGUACUAUUUAAUCGCUCAUCAAUUUCAUUUUCUACUUUCUUCGGUUGGAAAACUUCAACCUAAAAAAUAAACUGGUGCUCUAUACGAAAUAACACAUCUGUUUUCUACGGAUUUAUGCCUCACUUUUUAUUUGCCUCAGCAGAUUAGAGUAAUAAGUUGAUGGUCAUUCUCUACUUUGUAUUUGUAUUUUUUUAUGAGAUUGAUCCAAGAAAGAAUGACAUGUAUGCAAUACUCACUAAAUUGUCGGGUUGUAUAGCAAGGCUUAUAGUCUCGAAUUAUUACUGUAGAUUGUCUUAUUUUAUAAAGUAUUUUGUUUAGUGAAUAUAUAUUCCAAAAUUACAUGUACUAUGUUUGUAGAGGAGAAAGGACCUGAUUACAGGCCACUAAAAUAUUCUUGGUUGUCAAAGCUCCGCGGUCGCUUACACAUGUAUAUUAUCCAUGUAGUCUCGGUUAUCUAGGAUCAAUUACAACAAGGCACUUGGAUAUAUUUUAUAAUGGUGACAUAUUUUCUUAAUUUAAUAUACUUCCAUCUCACUAUGUUGAUUUAUUCAUGCUAUUUUGACGAGGAUGGCAUCAAUGCCAGUUCAUGGCUAUGCAAGGCAUCAGUGCUUGAUGAUUCGUCAAAGAGUGAUGUAUUACUCGUUGGGGACUUAAUUUGCAGCGGAAGCAGAUGCAGUAUACUCAUAUGACACGAACACAAUGGGAUUUUUUGAGGGAGUUGAGCAUGCUUGCCUUUCCCUGAGCUCCAGCUAUUCACGCUACCGCAUAUAAUAUCCAUCGUAGCUAUAUAGAGGUCGCCAUCAUUAUGCUAUUAGACAUAAUCUGGACUACUGCCUUUCAAAAGGGUACAAUACUAUUUUCAGUUUGUAUACCUUGAUGUAGUGUUGUAGCUUGGUUUAUUUGAAAUUUUAGUGUUCAUGUUAACAAUCACUAAAAAUGAUACAAUUGUGGAUGUAGGUUUCUAUUGAAACAAUCACUAAAAAUGAUAAAUA